UGGGAUGUAGCCAAGUCGGUAAGGCACGGGACUUUGACUCCCGCAUUUCGUAGGUUCGAGUCCUGCCAUCCCAGCCA
rnacentral:tRNA from 1 species